UGGGUGAUGGGUGAUGGGUGGCCUCGCGUUGCAGAGUCCCCGCGUCUCGGUCCUACAGGCCAGAAGUCUGUAACCAGUUUCACUGGGCUAAAGUCGAGAAUCCAAGAUCAUCUCUCCAACUCAAAAUCCUUAAUUCAAUCUCAUCUGCUGUCUUUGUCAUAUAAGAACUCGGGAAUGCGGAGCUGCUGAGCGGCUGUCAGCCAUUUUGUGAAGCAGCGAAAGAGAUG
rnacentral:lncRNA from 1 species